rnacentral:misc_RNA from 1 species
UCACCAAAUGAACCUAGCUGUAAAAGCAGUAAGGUUGGAGGUUUUACUGAUGAAGGUGCUGCUUUCAAUUCACUUGGUGAUGACAAUGGGGAUAGUAGUCAACGAAUUGCAAAUGAGUUGGUUGUAUCAUCAAUCCCAUCAGUUAUGACAAGUGAAUGUCUACAGAGCAAAGCUCCUGAUUGUUCAUCUCCAAAAAAGUUAAGAAGGAAGCUUUUGAAGUGUAGGAUGCCAAAUAUGUAUCUUGGCCCAAAAUUAUUCAGAAUCAGAGC